GACGAACGCUGGCGGCAGGCCUAACACAUGCAAGUCGAACGCUCUUUUCGGAGAGAGUGGCGCACGGGUGAGUAACGCGUGGGAAUCUGCCCUUUGGUUCGGAAUAACCCUGGGAAACUAGGGCUAACACCGGAUGAGCCCCGAGUUCCGCGAGGGAGUUGGGGAAGUUACGCCGAAGGAGGAGCCCGCGUCCGAUUAGCUAGUUGGUGAGGUAAGAGCUCACCAAGGCUUCGAUCGGUAGCUGGCUGAGAGGACGAUCAGCCACACUGGGACUGAGACACGGCCCAGACUCCUACGGGAGGCAGCAGUGGGGAAUAUUGGACAAUGGGCGCAAGCCUGAUCCAGCCAUGCCGCGUGAGUGAUGAAGGCCUUCGGUUGGUAAG
rnacentral:rRNA from 1 species